UACGUAGGGUCCAAGCGUUGUCCGGAUUUAUUGGGCGUAAAGAGCUCGUAGGCGGUUCGGUAAGUCGGGUGUGAAAACCCCAGGCUCAACCUGGGGACGCCACUCGAUACUGCUGUGACUUGAGUUCGGUAGGGGAGCACGGAAUUCCUGGUGUAGCGGUGAAAUGCGCAGAUAUCAGGAGGAACACCGGUGGCGAAGGCGGUGCUCUGGGCCGAAACUGACGCUGAGGAGCGAAAGCGUGGGUAGCAAACAGGAUUAGAAACCCCAGUAGUCC
rnacentral:rRNA from 1 species